rnacentral:tRNA from 1 species
CACUAAGUAGCUAAGAAUUAAAGCAUUAGCCUUUUAAGCUAAUAUCGGUUUAAUACCCUUAGUGU